UCACCAUGGUUGCUAAAAAAAAGUCUUCCUGUAUCCCUAACCUUCUGGCGCCCAUCGCUUGCCAUGGAUCGCGCCGCCGCCCUGCUCCCCACCGAUGUCGUCGCUCUCCCACCCAUCCACUGCCCCUGCCCACUGCACCUACCCUCUGUUGCAUUCCAUCUCCUCCACCGCCACCGUGAACCAUCUCUCUCCUUAGUCCUCUCUCUUGGACUAGCACGCUGCGGCGGAUGCUUCCGGUCACGUGGAGGCGGCGCGGCAGGUCGAGGGAAUGCGAUUGAGGCGGAUUGUGUCCCGUUCUCGAUCUAUCCUCACCUCCUCUUCCUCCUCUCCCAUCGAAAAUCACACCGCAAUCUAUACCUAUAGGCAAUAACAAUGGUCUCCUGUUGUGCCCCUCCACUCAUCGGACCGCCAAGGCAUGGAAGUACCCGGAGAAGUUGGUGCUCCGUGUAGCAAAUUUGUGCCCCUCCACUCAUCGGACCGCCGAGGCAUGGAACUACCUGGAGAAGAUGGUGCUCCGCGUAGCAAAUUCGGCUGUGUUUUGAGAGGCUGCCAGGCAAGACGCUUUGCCAGAUGUUCAUCAUCAAUGUCGGUCAGGGGUUCAGGCACCUUUGGAACGCAUGGCAUCAGCCAUAUGGACCUGCAUGGAUGUGAUAGUUUACUCAAUCAUUUUUAUGCCUUCAACUACAGCUACCACACAACUUCAUUGAGAUUUGUUUUCUAUAGGACCUGGAUUAAUAAUCUCCAACAAUAUGGUAAUGCUUGAUGCUUCUUAUAUUUACUUUCAGAUCUAAAUACAUUUGUGAUUUUGUGUAUGUUGCACUACGAAACUGUGUGUGCUAAACCAAACAUGACAUCUACGCAUUUUCAGAUAUGCAUGCAUGUUUCAAAAGAAUAAAUCUAAUAUGUAGUAUAUACGAAGGUACCUAAAAUGUUAGCAUAUAUUGCCAACUCUUGAAAAUAUACGGUGCUCUUACUCUUUGCUUGCUGUGAACCUGGGGAGCUCGGAAUGGAGUAGGUGUAAUAAUCAGUAUAUACCAGAACAAUAUUUCUGUGAUAUUAUAUAUACUAACUUUGUGAUAGUGGAGUAUGUAAUUUUUGAACUGGUUUGAAUUCUUGCCGUGAACCUGGGGAGCUUGGGAGGGAGUAGGUGUAAUAAUCAGUAUAUACCAGAACAAUAUUUCUGUGAUAUUGUAUAUACUGACUUUGUGAUAGUGGAGUAUGUACCAUAUUUUUGCCAGGGACUCUAUAACAUAUUUUCAAACUGGUUUGAAUAGCUACCGCCAAUUUUUAUCUUCCUUGUGGUGUAUGCUACCAUCAGAAGGAGUAUAUAAUACACUGCUCUUUGUGCACGGAAGUGUACAUACAAAAUUAAAUCAAAAGGGUAUAUAACAUACUUUUUAAUGAAGUAAGUAUAUACUUUUUUGUGUGAUGCAGUAUAUACAACAUCUUUGUAAGGAGAUAUAUAGUACUUUUUUGUGAACCAGUAUACUAUGUUUUUUAGUCAGUACAUAAUCUUUUAUUCGAUAUACACUACUCUUCUUGAGUCGGUAUAUACUGCUGUUCUUGAUAUAAAGGGUAAAACAGCGUGCACAUUUCAUGCCGCUGCCGUUGUCGACUAGAUGGUGGUGCCGCCGCAUGGAUCUAUCAGUGCAUGCCACACCACCACCGUUUCUUAUUGUCGCCGUUGUCGACGAGAUUGGUGGUGCCGUCGCAUGGAUCGAUCAAUGCACAUCACGCCACCGCUUUGUCAACAUCGACGAGAUGGUGGUGCUGUCUUAUCCAUCGAUCAAUGCACCUACUCAUUAACAUCGCAUCCGCUAUGUGACUAGCUGCGUCAGUGGCUUUGAACCUCGAUCCAGAUUGAUUUCAUGCAAAGCCUGUCAUGUUUUCCUUUUGUACAGGAAUAGGCAAGCACAAGAGAAGAUUUGACAGUAGACGCUCAUUGUUUGAGGUGUGUCAGGUCAUUCUUCCAGAAUUGAUAUUAAAUAUCAUGCUUGAACUUAUUUUUGAUGAAAUUUCAAGACUAUGCCUGAAUACAAUAUAGCAAGACCAACUCGGCAACUCGGCCUACUGAAUGUACAUGGGUACCAUUAAUCGCGGACCUUUGCUGAGCAAUUCAAGUAAGUUUAGAGGGGCCACAUCUAACCGUUUAACAUUUCUUUUACAUUCUCCAAGGCUCCAAUAUCUGAGUGCGAUAACACAUGACACAAGGUUUGUCUCAAACUCAUUAUUUGUGACCAGGUCGUGAAAAAGAAAAUAACUUAGAUCAGUUUAAUUUUCGCACUUCAAGAACCAGACUGUGAUUAUCCAAGAUACCAAGAAAAAAUUGCAUAUCUCAUUUGCAGAACAUAAAUGAUGGGAAGAAUGAUGUAUGGUGUAAUCCUAUGCUAUACUCACUGACGAACAAAUAAGAAAUCAAAAACUCAUAUGUGGUUGUCCUGGUUCAGCAGCCGUGCCCUGUUACACUCCUGUUUCGUCAGACGCGCCUUUUAGAUUUGGGAGCCAACUCGCGGAUGAAGAUGGCAACAGAGCAUGUUCUCCAUGCACCAUCCUAAAGAAAUAACACCAAAUAUGAUCAUUAGGGAACAAAUAAAAUAUUUGGUUGCUUUAUUUGACGUUUAAGAAUGAAAUCUUCAGAUCUAGCUGCACCUGUAACCAUCUACAUACCUUCUAACACAGCAAUCGACUUGAUUAGAGAAGAGGAAAAAACUCAAGCAAUUAUCUUGUACAGAAAUAUUACCUCAUUGUAUUUCCAAUCCGUCUGUCCCCUCCACUCCACUCCAUCAGGGAUAUGUUAAAAGGCCAGCAAAUCAUGAUUGCAUCACUUGUAUGACACUUAAGUAAGAAAGGAAUGAUGAUGUGGGACAUGGGGUGCUACGGACAAACGCUGCCUCCUCCCAGCAUAGAAGGGCCGCGGGGCGAGGGUACAACACAAGUCAUGUGGUGCCACGGCGGUGUAGCUCUUCAUUGGACGGACGCCACCGAGGAAAGGAGAAGAUGGCCUCGUGCAGGCCACAUCUUGGAGGCGGGGAGGCUGGACUGCGGGAUCGCCGUGGUAGGCGGCCUCGAAGACGACCGAUCGAUGUUUCCUAUCGCCACACCCGCGAAUCGUGUCACUGCCAGCAGUUUCGCCGACGCGGCCACCAGAUCUGGUAGAGAAGACAGGCUGGACCAACGUGGGGAGAGGGGAGGAGGUAGAUGACCACGCCGCCAUCAGAUUGGUGGCCGACUGGCCGCCCCUUCCAUCUUCCACGUUGCAAGGAGAGGGGACAAGGUCGAUCCGAUGCACGCCGGGCCGGGUGGAUGGGGAGCGACGACGGCUCCAAGAGAGAGAGAGAGAGAGAGAGAGAGAGAGAGAGAGAGAGAGAGAGAGAGAGAGAGAGAGAGAGAGAGAGAGAGAGGAGUAUGGGAGGUGUACUCUGACGGGGGUGUGGCGGCGGCUGUGCUUGGGGGAUCGUGCUUGGGAGGGGAGGAGGCAGCGCCGAGCCGCCCAGGACGGAGGUGAGGUGGGGUGGAUCGGUGCUAUAGAUGGGAUUGCAUCCCGAUGUUUUCGGCAGGGACGAUUGCGCGUGAAAAAAAAAACUUGAACCGACGAUGGUCGAAGGCGGACGAAACCGGCUGAGGAAGGGACGUAAGAGGGGAAACGGAACCUUACGGUUCUUUUAGGUAGUAGAGAAAACUGUAAAUUUGUUUCAAAAAAUUGUGUUAACAAAUUUGUUGAAUUAUUACGUGGGGGAGAUGCUCAACUAAUAAUAUAAAAACAAGUGUAGGCUAGGGAAAAGAUACAACAUCAUUAAGCGGCCGUAUUACCAGAAAAGAUUCCACGCUAUUGUUGAUGGCCCUAACGCUCUAUAGUUCUUCCUCCAGGCCCGAAAGAGAUCACUGCUUCUACACCGUUUCUUUCUCUCCUGGUUAGAAACAACCUCAACAAUCUUGCGUCAUGUCUCUCCCUUCAGCUAUCUCCCACCCCAUGGAAGCUAACCCAUGUCUCUAUCAAAACUAAGUUGGAGCAUUCAUCCGCUGUGCUAAAGGAGCUUAUUGACCCAAAACUGUUUUCCUCAUCUGUAUCAGUGUUUGUGCUCUCCAUGGAUGCAAUCCCGGCUCUUCUCACAUAUAACCUAUGGAUACCUCAUGGAGAUUGGUUGGAGCAUAAUCUUCUUACGUACAAGCUAUGUAUACAUAAUGGACAAUGGUCGGAGUAUAACGAUGCUGAUCAGGCGAGCUUAUAAAUUAACAUGCUGUCUAAGUAGAUGACAGCAGCAUGGAGGAGCCUAAUGUCAGUUGUCAAUGUCGUCGCUGGUCAAGUUACUAAUAAAUUUUUGUAUCGACAAAACAUGUCUAAGACCCUCUAUGGGAGAGUUAACAUCUUCAAUGGCCUGCCCAGUCUUCAGUUAUGGCUGAUGUUGUUGCUUGAUCUCCUGUUCAAGGAAGUUCCUUGCGAAGAUGCCAUGUCCUGGCUGGGGUAGGUUAGAGAAUUGAGUUCUCAUGAAUUUGCUUCUAACCCUUUUUAGCCAGCAUAUAGUGCAGAUAGUUAGACUGUGAAACACUUAACAAUGAAGCUCUUUGUGAACUACUAAAACAUUGAGGGUUUCUGUUAUAAAUCCGAAUAUCUAUUUUCCACGAACAAUUUGUUUGCAAAAGCAAAGGCAAUGUGAGAACUACUAAUGCUUAA